rnacentral:rRNA from 1 species
GACGAACGCUGGCGGCGUGCCUAAUACAUGCAAGUAGAACGCUGAAGGAGGAGCUUGCUUCUCUGGAUGAGUUGCGAACGGGUGAGUAACGCGUAGGUAACCUGCCUGGUAGCGGGGGAUAACUAUUGGAAACGAUAGCUAAUACCGCAUAAUAGUAGAUGUUGCAUGACAUUUGCUUAAAAGGUGCAAUUGCAUCACUACCAGAUGGACCUGCGUUGUAUUAGCUAGUUGGUGGGGUAACGGCUCACCAAGGCGACGAUACAUAGCCGACCUGAGAGGGUGAACGGCUACACUUGGACUGAGACCAGGCCCAGACUCCUACGGGAGGCAGCAGUAGGGAAUCUUCGGCAAUGGACGGAAGUCUGACCGAGCAACGCCGCGUGAGUGAAGAAGGGUCUCGGAACGGAAAGCUCUGUUGUAAGGGAAGAACGAGUGUGAGAGUGGAAAGUUCACACUGUGACGGUAUCUUACCAGAAAGGGACGGCUAACUACGUG